AGAGUUAGUUAUGCCGACGGUUUUUUAAAACCGUAGGAGAUGCAGACUUAUCCCGACUUUUACGAAUGGACAUUGGGAGAUCUCUAAAAUUUUCGACGUUUUGGAAAAACGUCGCGAGGUGUUUAACAAAAUAGCCCUAAAUUCGAUUUAGCCCCAUUCGCACCUACCCCCUCAAAUCGAUUUUCCUCUCCCAACUGUCGUACAUCGCCUAAGCACUGCCGCCGGUAGCUGCCGUUCCUUGCCGUCCAUCUGCCCGGCCCUCAACACUACCGCAGCCGUCCGUUGCUCACCGUCUGCUAUCCGUAGUUGCCGAUCAUGUUCUAUUUAGUUUGCUGCGAGAAAAUUGAUUAUUCUACUGCGAGAAAAUCCUCUCUACAUUUUUUUUCAUUUUCGAACCAUGGUUUCUUCUUCUUCUUCAUCAGAGCAUCUUACCUCUUGAUUUCGAUCGCCAGAUCGUCACCGGAAAAAAAGCGGCACUCAAAAUGAUGAGUGAACUUGUUGGACUUGCCAUGGGCGCCACGGUGCUUCUCGACGUGAUGUUUGCAGAGUAUUAAAAUUUAUUAGCUUGGAAGUUUUUUGAUGUUAAAUGUUUUAUUGUUAGAUGUUAAUGAUCAAUAGGUUUAGKUUUUGUAAAGUUUGUCUAUUAGUAUAAAUUUCUUGAAUCUAAUAUUGGAGUUGUCGAGAAAURUUUUGGUUUCUUCUCCUUGUUUGUUUCCUAUUAUGAAAUGUGAGAAAUUCUUGGUGUUUGA